ensembl:lncRNA
AUUUUGGCCACUUAAGCGACAUCAAAGCGCAAAGAAAAAGUUGUAGUACAACUUAAAUCAGCAUAUGAAUUGAAACUGCAAUUCAGGUCAUAGAGAAGCGACAUUUUGCAAUUAGCACUUGCUCUUUGUUGGAUGGCCCUGCAUUGUUCCCAGACCUUUGUCUAUAUACACGACAUGUGUUCCUGUGUGAACUUUUUGAAUAAAUUAACAUCACUAAUAAUGAUUUGUGAGCGUGAAUAUUCACCAUUUGUGUUUUCGUUGCACGGCUAGAAUUUUUUAUUUUUUAUUUUUUUUGGGAGGGGGGGGUGAAAAGUAUUUCUUUGAUAAUUGCUUUUUUAUUGCCUCUUAAUUUUACUGCAGGUCCAAAGUUAUUAAAUAAAAUGUUUAAUUACAGUUUGAGUCAUUUGCAUACUUUGAAAGUUAUAAAUUGUGGAUAUUGAAGAACUGCCUGCGUUGAUUUAUAGGUUUAAUUUGUGGCCAGUAUGUAUGACUUUAUUUCUGGUGGACUGAAUUGUUGUAGGCCAUAGACUAACCAAAGGUACUGUUAAUUGCACACAUGCAGCAGGAAUCAUUAAUGUCUUCUAACAUGCAGAAUUACUGCCUCAGAAGUUAGAAAGUUAAACAUGUGCCUCUGCCAGUGAAAAAUGUCCAAGAUGUGUUUGUCAUUUUUUCACAGUUUGCUUUCUCUCAGCGGAGUGUGAGGAGCAGCUUUGAGGACAGACAUAAUCUCUCUCAUCUUUUUUUUUUUUUUUUUUUUUGCUUUUUCUAGCCCUUUCUCCCUCUCAGGGCCCUGUGCUCUUUACUCCUCCCUCCUUUAUCCCUGCAAAAGCUUUGUCCCCGCAGUAGAGAGCCUCUCUAAAUAGAGGCCUUUAGAUAGUCCGGGAACAGGGGUGGGGGAGAGCUGCAGCGAUGCAACUGCUGUUGUUUCAUUUACCUCUCCCUAUGGCAACCAGCAGCAGUUGGCCAGGAAUGUCCCCUCUCUGGACAAAGUCCUGGUCCCCGAAGCUGACACUGGAGGGUUGGGGGGGGGGGGGACAGCUGAGACAGGAUGGAAACCUGCCCUCCCUGCUCUGGACUAGAGGCCUGAGUUUGGACUUAAUCCUCCUCUUCACUUCUUUCUAGUUUCACUUUAGUGGAUGACGAGCAACCAGAGAAGGUGUUCACACAAUAUUAACUCUGUAAUCGUUCUAUAUAAGACCUGAAAAUAAUUUUGAAAUCUCUUUUAGUGAAGUGAAUAAGCCUUCAGUACAGUUGCACCAUGCUCUAAUGGCCCCAUAUACAGGUUCUUUACAGUGUUGUAAACAGCCAUUUAGUCCCUCAUAAUAUCCUUUAAACUGCAUGUAAUAAGGGCACACUGGAUAGAGUUUUAUGUCUCUCUUUU